rnacentral:rRNA from 1 species
GAUGAACGCUAGCUACAGGCUUAACACAUGCAAGUCGAGGGACCGGCGAACGGGUGAGUAACACGUAUCCAACCUGCCCUUUACUCGGGGAUAGCCUUUCGAGAGAAAGAUUAAUACCCGAUAUAAAGGAUGGGUAUUCGUUCCAUUAGGUUGUUGGUGAGGUAACGGCCCACCAAGCCUUGGAUGGAUAGGGGUUCUGAGAGGAAGGUCCCCAACAUUGGAACUUGUAACAGGUCCAAACGCCUCCCGGAGGCAACAUGGAGGAAUAUUGGUCAAUGGGCGUGAGCCUGAACCCGCCAAGUAGCGUGAAGGAUGAAGGGUUUUUGGGCUUAAACGUCUAUUAUAUAGGAAUAGAUGUUAUAUGGAUAAGGAUCGUCUAACUCCGUGCCAGCCGCCGCGGUAAUAC